rnacentral:lncRNA from 1 species
AAAUCAUGAAUAAACUCCCAUUCACAAUUGCUGCAAAGAGAAUAAAAUACCUAGGAAUACAGCUAACAAGGAAAAUGAAGGACCUCUUCAAGGUGAAGGGGUUGGGUGCAGGAAGAGAGAACAUUAAGAAAAAUAGCUAAUGCAUACUGGGCUUAAUACCUAGGUGAUGAGUUGAUAGGUGUCCUUUCCCAUAUCAUUUCCAAUAUUUGGAUUUAAAUCUGUCCAUUGAUAUUCUCUGUCAUAGCAAAAGCUUCAUUCAGGUUGUUACCUUGACUUAUUCUGUUAUUCAUGAUCUAGUAUCAUUUGUGCAUACCACAUUUUAAGAUUAAUACUUUAUAUAUGUGUACAACAUGGAUAAUAUUUAACUUAAAGAUCCAUGACAACAUUUAUCUUUAAGAUCUGGGGUGGAUUAAAAUGAGAAAGACUUCUCACAGGCAUUUCCACUUAGUCAUGCUUUAGGAUUAGUUUUUUCUUAAGAUGUCUUCUCCCUCCAAGCUAAUAUCCACCACUUGUUUGGUUUUACCAGGAAAUGUAAACUCACAUUCUCUUUGACCAUAACUAGAAAAAUGUGAGAUGACUCCUCCAUCCAGUACAUAUUCACUGUUGGGAAUGCAGACUUGGAAUCAUACUGGCUCCUCUCUUACUCGGCAAAUUUACCUUGGAGCUCCUGACACUGCAGCAUGAAGGACCAUCACUUGUACAGAUAGAUCCCUGCCAAGGUCCUAGUAAGGU